CAGGAAAUGACAAGAAUAACUGAAGUCCCUCUAAUGUGACCACGAUUAGAAGAUUCACUUAAAAUCUAGCCAGAGUGAACUUCAGUUCUUGUCUCUCAUAUGUGGACUUCAACCCUCACAUCAAAGGCCGUGGCAUGAAAAUCUGCAUGGGGAUUUCUCUCUGCAAUGUGGCGUUUUCUUACUCGUCUUUCUGCCUGGCAUCAAGGAUGGGACUUAGGAACCUACAGAUUGACAUGUUCUCAAAUAAGGGUCUCUUCUUGAACCUGGAGCUCACCACUGCUGCUAGACUGGAUGGCCAGAGUGCCACCUGUCUCUACCUCCCAGCACUGUGGUUAUAGGACAUGUUGCUUGUCCCACACAUGACCUCGCCAGCAAGAAAACACGCGGGGACAUACGAAUCCUUGCAGCAGCCAAAACCUUUUAUUAAAUCUUAAAGAGAG